CAGAGACUCCAUCACUACUCGCUCUCCCCAGCUCUAUCGAAAACCUUCCCACCGACAAAGGAAGCCAACGGUGACUCCUCAAAUCACCUUCAAGAUUUACGUAGUAAUGGAUAGAGAUGAUGAUAACGAUGAGGCUUAUGAGAGGCACACGAAAGUAAUUAUAUUUGUGGCUGCUUUUGUCGUUAUAGCAGUGGAAUAGUAUAAGAAACUUUCCUAAAGUAAACAACCUUAUCAUAAUGAGCCUUGCCAUGGCUUUGAGACACAGAGAAUCGUGGGAGGUACUAGCAAGACAUGUCGAGACAUGAUAAGAAUGAGCAGGAAAAGCAUUGUAUAACUUAUGUCAUAUGAUACGAGAGAGUGGUCUUUUGUAUGACAGUAAUACUGUUCAUGUGGAACAACUGGUUAUAUUUUUGUACACAUUUGGUCAUAAUGUUAAAAAUCGUGUCCUCUUACAUCAUUUUGGGCA